rnacentral:rRNA from 1 species
UACGUAGGGGGCAAGCGUUGUCCGGAUUCAUUGGGCGUAAAGAGCGUGUAGGCGGCCAGGUAGGUCGGUUGUGAAAACUGGAGGCUCAACCUUCAGAGGUCGACCGAAACCAUCUGGCUAGAGUCCGGGAGAGGAGAGUGGAAUUCCUGGUGUAGCGGUGAAAUGCGCAGAUAUCAGGAAGAACACCCGUGGCGAAAGCGGCGCUCUGGAACGGUACUGACGCUGAGACGCGAAAGCGUGGGGAGCAAACAGG